rnacentral:lncRNA from 1 species
UUUUUUUUUUUUUUUUUUUUAGGGUUAGCAUUUGCUUCUGCAGGAGGCACCCUGGUUAUUUGGCCUGGGGGUUGAAUUUCGUGUAUGGGAUUAUCUUAUUAUUUUGUGUUUGUGUGUGUGCGCAGGUGAGUUCAUCCUUGUGCAUGUAAAAGUUCUGUCAUGUGUAUUCCUGUGACUCUCUACUACAUUUUUUGAGACAGAAUCUCUUUCUGAAAGAGCUCCUUGUUUUGGGUAGGCUGCCUGCCCCAGUGCUGGGGUUAUAGGCUGUGCCAUUAUGCCCAGCAAUUUUUGUGUGGGUUCCUGGGGUCUGAACUCAUAUCCUCAUGUUACCAGUUGGGCUUUGAGCUGGUUAUUUCCAGAUUUUUGGCAUCUUACUCAAUAAUGAAAUAAGGACACACAGACUGCAGAGACACUUUAUUCAGUUCAGGGUAUAUUAUCAGAGGCAGCAGCCACAUGAAGGAAAGUACUCAAGGGUCUUGAUUUGUGUUUGGUGGGCGCUUCCUUUUAUAGCACUGAAGAGGAGGGGCCAUGCUGAGAAGGGGUGCAGCAUGGUAGCUCCCUUGUCACUGACAGGGUUACUGUGUAUAAGCCCCUGUUUACUAUGUCUCAGGUGCCUCAGGUUUCAAUCAUACACACCCCCACUUAUGUGUACGCAUAGGAUAGUAAGUAGUGGGUUUCCCUAAGUGUUCACCCGGAGGGUCAAGUUUGUCUUAGUCUGUGUGUAUUGAAAACUAGUCUAGCCUGCAUCUGCCAGGCUAGAAAAAGUAAAAGUAAAGUAAGGGUACUUUUUACAAAGAAACUGUCCAUGAAAUGAGAGUUUCUGAUGGUGUCAACAGGAGGAGACACUUAUUAUUGCUUGUAGUGGUGUGCACACACACUGCAGCCUUUGAAACAGGUAAGGAUCCUAGGCUGCCAAUGGGAUGCGAGAAGCAUUGUUAGGGGUUGUGUGUGUAUAGCCCAAGCCAAGUGGAGUGCUGGUUGCUGUGCUCUCCAUCAUGUUAGACCGCUUCGCUCAUGCAUUCACUGGACCAUCACCCCAAAGCCAUCUAUAUCUUAACUGUUUUAGUUUGCAUAUCUCUGCACUUUGCAUUUAUCUCAUCUACUGGUAGUAAUUAAUAAUUAUUAAUGUACACAUUUUCAAAUAAAAUUUUUAUUGUUUCCUGUCUCUCACAUUCUUCACUAAAAGUUAGCAUGUGAGCCUUAGCUAUCUUUUCCUGAUUCCCUGGCCCUCAAACUGUCCUAUCUCCAACCCGCUCUGGGCUCUGUCCCUCCCAUCUCUGGCCCUUAAGAGUCCAGUUCCAGACUGCUGCCCAUCUGGGCUUCCUCAGGCCCGUUGCCCUGAGACCAGUUAAUUCCCUUAGAUCCUGAAGCAUUAGAAGAGAGAAGUUUCUUGAGUCUGAGGCCUGGCAUUCAACCAUUUUUUAGAACUCCAGGUGGAAAACUUGCUCCCUUCCAAUGUUUCCUUCAAGUGAGUAUGGUUUCCAUCUACAUGGGGUUGAGGUGUCAUGGGGCACUGUUGGCUUAGCUGUGAGGAGAUAUGCCCAGGCCACUGUGCAGAGCCAGACAGCUGGUAUUACUUUAAGCCACAGCCCAAGAGGCCACUGAGGUCCUAGACUAGAGCCCAAAGGACCAAGAACAUUGCCACUCUUUGCUUCCCAGAACUGUGGAGCAAGAGUUGGUCUUGCCUACUAAGACACCAAAGGAAGAUGACAAGGACCAACAAAGCACGAUACAAACUAAAGGAACUCUGAGGGCAACAACUCACGUAGCCCUCCCUGUUCCUGCUCAGAGGUGAGAAGGCGGCACGCAGACAAGACUGGGUUUGUCCCUCACUUCUCAGGCAGGAAGAGCUCACCUUUGGUUAAGUCAGUGCUCAUCUUUCCCCCUUAAAUAAGGGCACAGAGAGCCCAAAUCUGGCCCAAGAGUGAGAAAGGAAUGGUUAUUUUGUGUGUGGGAAACAUCAAACACUCAGUUGCAGAACUGAGUUGUUCCGCAUUGCUGGGGUCUUGGUGAUUUUGAGCACAUUGAAGCGCACUGUGUUGCUCAAGGGCCUGCUCUCACGCAUGGUGAUAGUGCCACUAAUCUGGAGAUCCCUGCAGCAGGGCACAUGCUCCUUGGUGCUUCCUGACAUGGGUAUAUGGAACUCGAUGUCAUGGGAGAUGGUCCCUGCUGAUGGUAGUGAUCCUCUGGACCUGCAUCUCCAGCUUCGUUACUACACCAGGUAGACUCUGCUCUUGGAGGGCACUUCUUGACAAUAUAGUGUCCUCCCUGGUCUCCUGAAACUUGAAUAGAUGCUUUUGGCUCAUUUGGGGAGCCUCUUUUCUGUUUCUCAUGGCAGGACCUCCUUGCUGCAAAGAAAGAUGUAGACCUGCUCUGUGGAGCAUGCGUGGUCUGGAUGUAGCUUUCUUCCUGGUUGCUCCUUUAAACAGAAACACUUCUUAAGGGGGAAACCAUGUGACUGAUUUUCAUGUUUCCAUGACUUACUGUAAUUGUUCACAAACGUUUCAAUGGAUGUAAUGUGUGCAAGAGAUUGGUUUAAGCAAUACUGACAGUGCUCAACCCUCUUGGCUGCAAGUAAAGACUUUAACUCUUAGGAGAUGAAAUCCAGGUUUGGCGCGUGCUAGGUAAGUUCUCUGCCACUGGCUUACGUAAGAGGGGAAUUUUAUUGGCUCAGAGGGGCAGAAUACAAGAAUACACAUUCUCCCUUCUUCCCGUGGGCCGUGCUUGUGGGGAUGACACACAGAGAAAGGAGGCUCACACUGCCCCAGGGGUUUUCAGGUGAGGGAGGGCCAUGAGAGUGAUACAGAUUUCUUAGACACAUCAGUGAACGUAAACACAGACCCGGGGUCCCUUUGCUCUGGAGGAGAUCUUAGUCUGUUUUUGAUCAGGGGAGAGGUGCCUAAUCCCUUUUUAGGCCUAAGAGCAGCCCUGCUACUGAUGACAUGAAUGUCGUGUUCGUGGUUGCACGUUUAGCAUGAGUUAAAAUCGAUUCUCAGAAUUGCUUGCUUGGUGAUAGUGAUUGAGAUCUGACUUUGUUACCAUGACUCCUGUAAGUCACAGCUGCAGCUCCAGAGGCCGACCUGAACCCUGCUGACGGCAUCGUGAAGGACUGUACUGACCAGAGCGUGUCUUCUGGGUUACAUUUACGUCUGUCAGCACUUGCUUUGAUUUGGUUCUGACACCUUCCUUGUAGCUUCCCUUCAGGUCUGACAUCAGAGUUGGGGGAUACUGGUUGUAUAUUCACUUUCUCUAAGACCCUGGGAGAAAAAGGAAUUGAGAUUAAUAAUGCCUUGGGCUUUCUUUUGUCCCAUUUUUGCUUAAUAACUCAUUUAGGCUCUAAUUCUAAUUAGGAAGAGCUGCCAGGAGAGAAUGGUGGGCUAUCCUAGAGCCCGUCUGACCGUGACAGCUUUCAUUGACUCUUAGUUUUCUCAACUGCAGAAGGAGACAGUCUCAGUUGUAUCAACUUCUCAGGUGCUUAGGAAGGGAAAUUGAGCGUGUCUCUGAGAAAGUGUAUUGUAAGGGGAGGUCUACAUGAAUGUAGUAAGGUCGUACUGUCACUGACAUCAUGAGAGCAUUAGUGUGAGUAGGAAUUACAGUAGAGUCCUUCAGUGUUGACUGGUAGAAUCUGGUAUGGACAAAGCAGCAAACCAGGUCUUAAAAUUAAUUUUUUAUUUGGUUGUUUGGGCUAAUACUUACCUCGAUUAGUUUAGGCUUCCUUUACAGUUAACAUAGUGUCUUAGUUAGGGUUUCCAUUGCUGUAAGGAGACAGCACUACCAAGGCAACUCUUUUUUUUUUUUUUUUUUUCGAGACAGGGUUUCUCUGUGUAGCCCUGGCUGUCCUGGAACUCACUUUGUAGACCAGGCUGGCCUCGAACUCAGAAAUCCACCUGCCUCUGCCUCCCGAGUGCUGGGAUUAAAGGUGUGCGCCCCCAUGCCCGGCUCCAAGGCAACUCUUAAGAGAACAACUUUUAAUUGGGGCUGGCUUAUAGGUUCUGAGGUUUAGUCCAUUAUCAUCAUGGCAGGAAGCAUUGCAGCAUCCAGACAAGCAUGGUGCUGGAGGAGCUGAGAGUUCAUCUUGUUCCAAAGGCAAAGAGGAGAAGACUGUCAUUCAGGCAGCUAGAAGGAGGAUCUCAUUGCCCUACAGUGACACACUUCCUUCAACAAGGCCACACCCACUCCAACAAGGCCACACCUCCUAAUAGUAUUCAAAGCUCCACAUAGAGGGUUCCUGUUGAGGAUUAUAAAGAGCCUUAGUGUUUUCAAGCU